UGCGUAGGCGGUUUUACUAAGUCAGAUGUGAAAGCCCCGGGCUUAACCUGGGAACUGCAUUUGAUACUGGUAGGCUAGAGUAUGAUAGAGGGGGGUAGAAUUCCUGGUGUAGCGGUGAAAUGCGUAGAUAUCAGGAGGAAUACCAGUGGCGAAGGCCGGCCCCCUGGAUCAAUACUGACGCUGAGGUACGAAAGCGUGGGUAGCGAACA
rnacentral:rRNA from 1 species